rnacentral:misc_RNA from 1 species
UAUUUUAAAAUAACUAUUUGUGGAAGUUAUUGUAGGUUGUUGCUGUGAUGAUGACAGAAUAGCAUAUUGUGAAUGUGAAUGUAGAUGUGAAUCAUAUUUGCAACAAUCUGCUCUCCAUGAAACAUAUUCCAUUACAAUGACAUUUGCAAUGUUUUGGAGUGAGUAAUUUGCUCGCUUCUUGUAGGACACUAGGCCAUUUUAACUUCGUUCUUUUCUUGCAGAUUUUGACUGGACAUCAA